rnacentral:rRNA from 1 species
GAUGAACGCUGGCGGCGUGCCUAAUACAUGCAAGUCGAACGCGAGAGGAGGGAGCUUGCUCCCUCUGAUCGAGUGGCGGACGGGUGAGUAACACGUAGGCAACCUGCCCAUCAGCCGGGGAUAACUGCGGGAAACCGUGGCUAAUACCGGAUAAUCCUCCACGCCGCGGGGUGGGGAGUUGAAAGACGGUUUCGGCUGUCGCCGCUGGAUGGGCUUGCGGCGGAUUAGCUGGUUGGCGGGGUAACGGCCCACCAAGGCAACGAUGCGUAGCCGACCUGAGAGGGUGAUCGGCCACACUGGGACUGAGACACGGCCCAGACUCCUACGGGAGGCAGCAGUAGGGAAUCUUCCGCAAUGGACGCAAGUCUGACGGAGCAACGCCGCGUGAGUGAAGAAGGGUUUCGGCUCGUAAAACUCUGUUGUUAAGGAAGAACGCCAGGUAGAGUAACUGCUACCUGUGUGACGGUACUUAACCAGAAAGCCACGGCCAACUACGUGCCAGCAGCCGCAGUAA